rfam:Anolis carolinensis chromosome 4, whole genome shotgun sequence.
GUAGGCUAUGGAGAUGUUGUACCCGUGACUGUUGCUGGCAAGCUGGCAGCUUCUGGUUGUAUCCUCGGUGGGAUUUUGGUGGUGGCACUGCCUAUUACUAUCAUCUUCAACAAG